GCCUUUAUAAACUAGCUCUCAUCAUCAUCUCAGCCUUACUGAUUUUGUCUCUGUCUUGAACGGUUGUGUCCAGGGUCUUCUGUCAGUCUCAACAUCGUAACUUUAAAGCACCAUGUCUAACACCGAACGUACCUUCAUUGCCAUCAAGCCUGGUGUCCAGAGGGGGCUUGUGGGAGAUAUCAUUAAGGGCUUUGAGCAGAGGGGCUUGUGGCCAUGAAGAUGAUCCAGGCGUCUGAGGACCUUGUCAAGCAGCACUACAUUGACCUGAAGGCCAUGCCCUUCUAUGGCGGCCUUUGCUCAUUCAUGCAUUCUGGUCCAGUUGUUGCCAUGGUAACUAUCCUCCCCAUGCAUGCACUACGCACAGCCCGUUUCAAAAUGCUGGCUCAUUGCUAGAUUCAUAGUGGCUCACUGCUAAUGCCACCCUGGACACUAUACUUCAGGUUCUCUUGAGCGGUGCUUGCGAUAUAAUUAAUCGUUACUCCUUAUAGUCCAAGGACCUUACAUGUUCUGUUUAAAUGCAAAUUGGCUCUGGAAGCCAAAACAGGCAAAUACUCCAUUUAAACGUGAAUCGAUUCUCAGUUGCGGUACGUUGCUAGAAACAUUGGGUGUAAAGGGGGAAAUGGACACCAUGAAUCCAUGCAAGUCACGUACCACAGCAAGGAAUUUUGACUCCCAAAGUGAACAAUGGUAAACGAAUAAACUGUGGAAAAUGCGA